CCGCCCGGCGCGGGGCGCGGAGCGCUGCCGAGGGUCUGCGCUCGGCGCGGCGCUCCGCCCGCGGUCCUCCCGCCCUCCCGGCCGCGGCUCCGGCUUCGGCUCCCGCACGGAGGUUCCCGGGGCGCGCCGCUCUAACGUGAAUCCGCGGCGGGAGCCGCUGGGCUGCGGGCUGCUCCCUUUGAAACGGCGGCUCCCGCUGUCGGCGUGCGCGUGGCGGCGGGGCACGGCCGCACACACCGAGCGCUGCCCGCGGCCCCUCCGCGCCUCCGGCUGCGGGCUCACGGCGGGGCGCGACCCACGGCCACGCACGCACACGCCGUCGGCCUCAGUUCGAGAGCGGCGAUAGAUGGGUGGCCUCGUGCCGAGGCACCGCGCGGCGCUAGCCCGGCCAGAUGCUUCCUCCCGUCCGACAGCGGUGCCGCCGAGGCAUCGGCUGCGGCGCAAGGCUCUCCCGAGCCAGGUGUGAGCGAGGCAAAGCCCCACUGAAGACAAUGACAGUAGUUCUGUGCUGCAUGGGGAGUUAAACACCGAGCACUGCAGCAGCGUUCGUUUGGAGCAGUGUGUUUCUUAGAGCCGGGAAGGUCUGAGUGGAGGUAAGAGUGAGAUCUACUCUUCCCUUGGCCCUUCUGCUGCAAACCACUGUGCAAAAAGGCAAAUGCAAACAGGAGCCUGCCCUUAGCCCACUGAAAGAGUUCACUGACCUCUCGUCUGCUGCACUGAAGCCUGCAGGAACCCUGGCAUAACUGACUGAAGGUCACUGUCCAUUCCUAUCCGCAUCGAUGCAGACUAGGGCUUUGGAGUGGUUGGAAAAGUAAACCAUAUCUUAGGUGCUAGAGGAGAUCAAACCUCAACAUGGACUCCUGAUGUUUUAUUUUGAUUUUCAAUACAGUUUCCUUUAUUCUGUGCUUGAUACCAGACUGAAGACUGAUUUUAGCAAUGUUUCCAAUUGCUUGUUUAUACUAAUGUCACACUGAGAUAUCCAGUGACUAACCACUGCGAAUCUUUGUCAGACAGCAGGAUGUCACCGAGUGGAAGCAGGAACAGGUGUUCUGGGAGGAGUAUAGGGAUGCUUCUGGGCUGUGUAGGGAUGGGAUCAGACAGGUCAAGACCCAGCUGGAACUGGACUUUAGCAAAGAAGAACAAGAAAGGCUUGUUCAGUUCGGAAGGAGAGAAACAACGUUGGUAACACACCGAUGUUCACAGCGGCUGCUAAGCAGUGUUGGACAGAGCCAAGGCUGUUCUCAGCAAAGGGCCCAAGGAGCUGGGAGGGAACAGAGUGAGGACAGCUGACUUGACCUGGCCAAAGGGAUAUUCCAUA
ensembl:lncRNA